rnacentral:rRNA from 1 species
UACGAGGGGGGCGAGCGUUGUUCGGAAUUAAUGGGCGUAAAGGGUGCGUAGGCGGUUUGGUAAGUCUUAUGUGAAAUCUACAGGCUCAACUUGUAGUCUGCAUGAGAAACUGCCGGGCUUGAGUAUGGGAGAGGUGAGUGGAAUUCCUGGUGUAGCGGUGAAAUGCGUAGAUAUCAGGAGGAACACCUGUGGCGAAAGCGGCUCACUGGACCAUAACUGACGCUGAUGCACGAAAGCUAGGGGAGCAAACAGG